rnacentral:sRNA from 1 species
CCUUAAGUUAGCGCUUAUGGGAUGUUUCCCCCACAUUCAACGCCGAGAAUAGAGGAAAAAUUAAAGGGGAGAUAAAAUCCCCCCUUUUUGGUUAACU